rnacentral:piRNA from 1 species
GGCAUCCCAGGAGGAUUAGAAUGGACAUG